GGCCGCAGUAUUUUGACUGUGCAAAGGUAGCAUAAUCAUUAGUCUUUUAAUUGAAGGCUGGUAUGAAUGGUUGAACGAGGUAAAUUCUGUUUUAUAUUGAUUAUUUGAAUUUAGAUUUUGAGUAAAAAUACUCAAAUAAUAUUAAGGGACGAGAAGACCCUAUAGAGUUUAAUAUUUAAAGUUUUAAUUAAGUUAAUUUUUAAUUUUUGAUUAUUAUGAUAUUUAUUUAAUUGGGGUGAUUAAAAGAUAAAUGAAACUCUUUUUUGAAAUUAAUAAUUUUAUUAAUUUAUUGAUCCAUAAAUUAUGAUUAUAAGAUUAAAUUACCUUAGGGAUAACAGCAUAA
rnacentral:rRNA from 1 species